ACUCCUGCGGGAGGCAGCAGUGGGGAAUUUUGGACAAUGGGCGAAAGCCUGAUCCAGCAAUGCCGCGUGAGUGAAGAAGGCCUUCGGGUUGUAAAGCUCUUUUGUCAGGGAAGAAACGGUGAAAGCUAAUAUCUUUUGCUAAUGACGGUACCUGAAGAAUAAGCACCGGCUAACUACGUGCCAGCAGCCGCGGUAAUACGUAGGGUGCAAGCGUUAAUCGGAAUUACUGGGCGUAAAGCGUGCGCAGGCGGUUUUGUAAGUCUGAUGUGAAAUCCCCGGGCUCAACCUGGGAAUUGCAUUGGAGACUGCAAGGCUAGAAUCUGGCAGAGGGGGGUAGAAUUCCACGUGUAGCAGUGAAAUGCGUAGAUAUGUGGAGGAACACCGAUGGCGAAGGCAGCCCCCUGGGUCAAGAUUGACGCUCAUGCACGAAAGCGUGGGGAGCAAACAGGAUUAGAUACCCGAGUAGUCCC
rnacentral:rRNA from 1 species